GAUGAACGCUAGCGACAGGCUUAACACAUGCAAGUCGAGGGGCAGCGAGAAAGUGCUUGCACUUUUGUCGGCGACCGGCGCACGGGUGAGUAACACGUAUGCAACCUGCCCUUGUCAGGGGGAUAAGCGGGGGAAACCCCGUCUAAUACCGCAUAUAUGAUUUGGAGGCAUCUCUGAAUCAGGAAAGAAUUAUCGGACAAGGAUGGGCAUGCGGGACAUUAGGUAGUUGGGGGUGUAACGGGACCACCAAGCCGACGAUGUCUAGGGGUUCUGAGAGGAAGGUCCCCCACACUGGUACUGAGACACGGACCAGACUCCUACGGGAGGCAGCAGUGAGGAAUAUUGGUCAAUGGGCGAGAGCCUGAACCAGCCAAGUCGCGUGAGGGAUGACGGUACUAAGUAAUUGGUAAACCCUCUUUUUGUCAGGGAACAAAGAGACCACGUGUGGUAAGAUGAGUGUACUGAAGAAAAGCAUCGGCUAAUCCGUG
rnacentral:rRNA from 1 species